rnacentral:lncRNA from 1 species
UGCUCGCCCAGGCUGAGCUGCCCGCCAUUCUGCACACCGAGCUGAACCUGCAAAAAUUGAGCAAAGGCCAGCAGCAGAUAACAACCCCGGACAAAUCAGCGAUGUGUCACCCCCAGUCUCCCACCUUUUCUUCUAAUGAGUCGACUUUGAGCUGGAAAGCAGCCGUUUCUCCUUGGUCUAAGUGUGCUGCAUGGAGUGAGCAGUAGAAGCCUGCAGCGGCACAAAUGCACCUCCCAGUUUGCUGGGUUUAUUUUAGAGAAUGGGGGUGGGGAGGCAAGAACCAGUGUUUAGCGCGGGACUACUGUUCCAAAAAGAAUUCCAACCGACCAGCUUGUUUGUGAAACAAAAAAGUGUUCCCUUUUCAAGUUGAGAACAAAAAUUGGGUUUUAAAAUUAAAGUAUACAUUUUUGCAUUGCCUUCGGUUUGUAUUUAGUGUCUUGAAUGUAAGAACAUGACCUCCGUGUAGUGUCUGUAAUACCUUAGUUUUUUCCACAGAUGCUUGUGAUUUUUGAACAAUACGUGAAAGAUGCAAGCACCUGAAUUUCUGUUUGAAUGCGGAACCAUAGCUGGUUAUUUCUCCCUUGUGUUAGUAAUAAACGUCUUGCCAC